GACUCUCAACAACAAAUGUCUUAGCUCUCGCAUCAAUGAAGAACGUAGCGAUAUGCGAUACUUGAUGUGAAUUGCAUAAUCACGUGAACUAUCGAGUCUUUGAACGCAAGUUGCGCCAAAGCCGUUAGGCCGAUGGCACGUCUGCCUAGGCAUCA